rnacentral:rRNA from 1 species
AUGUUGAGCCGGCGAAGAUCACCGGUAGUGGCUUCGCUACAGCUGCCGCUGGUGACAACUCUUCUGUUUCUAUGGGUCCUAAGCUGGGGGCAUGCAACAGCAGAUGCUGAUAUAGCUAACAUGACGGCACUCCAGAAACAUGUCUCUUUUUUCGACCGUAACAAGGAUGGCAUCAUUACUCCUACAGAAACAUUUGAAGGAUUUGUUGCAAUUGGUUGUGAUGUUGCGUAUUCUAGAGACUCUGCCUCUUCCGUGCAUGCUGCCCUUGGUCCUAUAACAAGCCCGGUUGAUGCACCAUUGCCCCACAUUAAUAUUCACAUAGGCCUAAUCCACAGAGCAAUGCAUGGAAGUGAUUCAGGUGCAUUAGAUGCCAAAGGAAGCUGUAGGUUUGUUCCCCAAAAAUUCAAGGAAAUAUUCAUAAAGCAUGCAAAAGCCAGACCAGAUGCGCUGACAUCCUCAGAGGUGGAGGAGAUGAUACUAGCAAAUCGAGAUCCACUAGACCCUCGAUCAUGGUCGGCGCCUGUAAAUGAGUGGGGCCUGACAUACAAGCUCGCAAGUGAUAGAGAUGGUUUUCUUCAGAAGGAUAGUGUAAGAGGUAUAUAUGAUGGAAGUGUGUUUGUCAAGUUGGAGGAAAAGAGGUCUCUUCGGAGUGAAAUAUGA